GGUAAGAAAGACUAAGGG
rnacentral:tRNA from 1 species